AUUGAACGCUGGCGGCAUGGCUAAAACAUGCAAGUCGAACGAACCCCUCGGGGUAAGUGGCGCAAGGGCGAGUAAUGGUAUCGAACGUACCCAGAGGUGGGGGAUAGAUGGGCUAACGCCCGAGUAAUACCCCAUGUGCUCUACGGAGGAAAGCUACGGCGCCUCUGGAGCGGCGAUACUCCUAUCAGGUAGUUGGUGGGGUAAUGGCCUACCAAGCCCAAGACGGGUAGCGGGUGUGAGAGCAUGACCCGCCGCAUCGGAACUGAGACACUGUCCGGACUCCUACGGGAGGCUGCAGUAACGAAUCUUCCGCAAUGCACGAAAGUGUGACGGAGCAAUGCCGCGUGUGGGAUGAAGCAGCUUCGCUGUGUAAACCACUGUCAGGGUCUAGGAAGAACUGACCAGACCCAAAGGAAGGGCCGGCUAAACUCG
rnacentral:rRNA from 1 species